rnacentral:pre_miRNA from 1 species
AAACUACUCCCUCAGUUUCGUAAUUCUUGACGCAGUUUUGUCUAGAUACAUCCGUAUCUAGACGCGUUUUAGUGUGUAGAUUUGCCCCUUUUUGAAAGAACUUGUGUCAAGAAUUAUGAAACUGAGGGAGUAACAA